rnacentral:rRNA from 1 species
GGAUUAGAAACCCGGGUAGUCCACGCCGUAAACGAUGUCUACUAGUCGUUGGGUCCCUUGAGGACUUAGUGACGCAGCUAACGCAAUAAGUAGACCGCCUGGGGAGUACGGCCGCAAGGUUAAAACUCAAAUGAAUUGACGGGGGCCCGCACAAGCGGUGGAGCAUGUGGUUUAAUUCGAUGCAACGCGAAGAACCUUACCUGGUCUUGACAUAUCUAGAAUCCUGCAGAGAUGCGGGAGUGCCUUCGGGAAUUAGAAUACAGGUGCUGCAUGGCUGUCGUCAGCUCGUGUCGUGAGAUGUUGGGUUAAGUCCCGCAACGAGCGCAACCCUUGUCCUUAGUUACCAGCGGGUUAAGCCGGGAACUCUAAGGAUACUGCCAGUGACAAACUGGAG